GGAUUCUUGGUUCUGGCAUCGAUGAAGAACGCAGCGAAAUGCGAUAAGUAAUGUGAAUUGCAGAAUUCAGUGAAUCAUCGAAUCUUUGAACGCACAUUGCGCCCUCUGGUAUUCCGGAGGGCAUGCCUGUUCGAGCGUCAUUUCAACCCUCAAGCCUGGCUUGGUGAUGGGGCACUGCUUCUUACCCAAGGAGCAGGCCCUGAAAUUCAGUGGCGAGCUCGCCAGGACCCCGAGCGCAGUAGUUAAACCCUCGCUUUGGAAGGCCCUGGCGGUGCCCUGCCGUUAAACCCCCAACUUCUGAAAAUUUGACCUCGGAUCAGGUAGGAAUACCCGCUGAACUUAGGCAUAUCAAUAAGCGGAGGA
rnacentral:rRNA from 1 species